CCCCCUGAAGCUACAGAGAACAGCGAGCCCAAGUUGAACUGGAUUCACUGUAACAACCAACUUCUUCUUCCCGAUUCCAGCUCCUUUGGGCAUUUCCAAGCGAAGGCAAAUGGCGUGGCCUCAGGAUCGCCAGCGGGCUCGGCCGGGAGCGAGGCCCUGCGACGAGGGCUGUGUCUGACCAGGCUCUCCGUUACGAAGCUGAACCACCUGGUGACGGAGCAGCUGGUAAAGUGCGGCGUCCCAGCGGUGGGCAUUUCGCCCUUUGGCACCUGGAGGACAGCAGGCAAGAAAGUCAGCCAGGCUGGCAUUUCUGCCAUAAGGGACGCCUUGGAUGCUGGCUACAUCCCGGUCGUGCAUGGGGACUGUGCUCUGGACUCUGAACAGCACUGCUGUAUCUUAUCAGGGGAUGCUAUCAUUGAGACAUGCCUCUGA
rnacentral:lncRNA from 1 species